rnacentral:rRNA from 1 species
AUGGAUGGCUCUUCAUGGACACUGACAGUUGUAUAUGGGCCGCAGGAUGAUGAUGACAAGAUUGUAUUUCUGCAGGAGCUCCGCAACCUCAAGCUCUUGGUGAAAAAUGAAUGGCUGCUUGCAGGCGAUUUCAAUCUGAUCGCGAGAGCAAAUGAGAAGAACAACCCCAAUGUCAACAUUCGGAUGAUGGGCCGGUUCAGAAGUGUCAUCGAGGAUCUUGAACUCCGUGAGUUUCAGCUAACUGGAAGGAAAUUUACUUGGGCCAGUCACAAUAGCAACCACACCUGCUCCAAGCUCGACCGCAUCCUCAUGUCUCGCGAAUGGGAACUCAAGUUCCCCCAGUACCAUUUGAUGCCUGCCUCCACGGCCAUUUCGGACCACAGCCCUUUGUUACUCAAGAGGAUGGUGACCAAGCACUAUCAUGGGUUCCGAUUUGAAUCUUUUUGGGUUAAUCUGCCUAGGUUUAGGGAGACGGUUCAGGAGGCUUGGGACAAGGAUGUGCGCUCCAACAACGCCUUCAGAAUUCUGCACACCAAGCUUUGUCACACGGCUGCCGCCCUCAAGCGGUGGAGCAGAGCACACAUGUCUGAUUUGCGGAUUCAGGAGGCUAUCGCAAACGACGUCAUUUUCCACCUAGACAUGGCACAAGACGAGAGGGUGCUGUCCGACGCCGAGCUGAAUCUGAGGUGA